UACGUAGGUGGCAAGCGUUGUCCGGAUUUACUGGGCGUAAAGAGCGCGCAGGCGGUCGUUCAAGUCGCGUGUGAAAGCCCCCGGCUCAACUGGGGAGGGUCACGCGAUACUGAUCGACUCGAAGGCAGGAGAGGGUAGUGAAAUUCCCGGUGUAGUGGUGAAAUGCGUAGAUAUCGGGAGGAACACCAGUGGCGAAGGCGACUACCUGGCCUGUUCUUGACGCUGAGGCGCGAAAGCUAGGGGAGCAAACGGG
rnacentral:rRNA from 1 species